rnacentral:rRNA from 1 species
CAGCCGCCGCGGUAAAACGAAGGGUGCAAGCGUUAAUCGGAAUUACUGGACGUAAAGCGUGCGUAGGCGGUGAGUUAAGUCUGCUGUGAAAGCCCUGGGCUCAACCUGGGAAUGGCAGUGGAUACUGGCUCGCUAGAGUGUGUCAGAGGAUGGUGGAAUUCCCGGUGUAGCGGUGAAAUGCGUAGAGAUCGGGAGGAACAUCAGUGGCGAAGGCGGCCAUCUGGGACAACACUGACGCUGAGGCACGAAAGCGUGGGGAGCAAACAGGAUUAGAUACCCCAGUAGUACCUGUCUCUUAUAC